rnacentral:lncRNA from 1 species
GUUCCGGGCCCCCGGAAGUGGCCGUUGUAAACUUCACCUCGUAGACUUUCUCCAUCCUGGCCCUAGAGUCCAUCGGCUUUCCCCAGUUGUCACUCUUUCUCCUGAGAGUUGCCUGACCUCCCACUCACCCCGAGACCUGAAGCUGCCUGGGGGUCGUGGGUGUGCAGGCUGGACCACGCGAGUCCGAGGUAACUGCGGGCUGUGGGUGCAAUGGUGACUGGCGCCCGGGACCGGGAGGUGCUGAGAGGAGACUGGGCUUGCAGAGAGGACCCGGCUGAGGGCUGCUAGCUGGUGCUGACACGCCUCCAGCUCAGCCUCCAGCCUCCAGCCUCCAGCUCAAUGGCCAGGGCUCUCCGCCCACCUUGAGGAAGCCGAGCAUCUUCGCUGUACUCCGAGGACCGGUGGGGACUAGAGUCCUCGGAGCUCUUUGGGAUCAGUACCCAAGGAUCACUUUUUUUUUUUUCGUGUUUUACCUUCAUUUUAUUUAAAUGCCUACCACACUUUAGGCACCCUACAAACGUUUGAUAAGCAAAACAAUGAGUUAUGCAACUUCUGCCUACCACCCACCUUGGGACUUAGAAAAGUCAGCUGUGAGUUUAAAGCUGAAUUUUGCGUACAAGCACACACCCCCCCCCCUUUGACUUUUUAAUCAUUUACGAUAUUCAUAUUAAUCAAAUACAUAACUUAGAGACGAUAUCAAACAGCUUCUAAGAUUUUGCACGUUGAUGUUUUAUACUUUUCCUAGUAUUGGAGAAAUGAAACUACCGUUUUGUUAUUUGUAUUUAUCAGUGCUUAGUAACGACCAAACUGUGAUAGAGCCGGAAAUGCAAUCCUUUCCAGUUAAAGGCAGAGGAAUGCAGGCAGUGCAGCGGGAUUCUAGGGAAAGUGAAGGCGGCUGUUUUAGCUUGGAGCUUGUGUGUAAAUCCUGGCUCAGCCAUUUAUUAGCUGUGACAGGCAAAUCACCUGUCGCCUGGACCUUAGGUUCUUUAUGUCAAAUAAGCAGAGUGGGCUUAGUCUUUCAGGCUCCGUUUACUUUUUGUUUGUUUGAGUUUCUUUGUCUUAGGCGUGUUUUAUGGACAGAAUCACACAUCUCCUUCACCUCUCUUCUUUUUUCAGAGAUGGGAUGAAAGGUGGUUGAGACUGAACAAGAAUCAUGGGCACAAAAGUGUUCUGCUAUUUGAGCUGCACUCAGCUCUGAAGUGCCCCCUUGCCAAAUGAACCGUGUAACUGCUGAUAGUCCCACACAGGUGUCACGACUAAUGAAUGCAAAGCUGCAUAGACAAAAAAAAAAAAAAAAAAAAAGUGGAUUUAGUGUUAGGGAAUCAAGCCCUUUCCUCUCGAUG